UGCUACACAUGCAAGUCGAACGAUGAAGCCCGUGCUUGCACGGGUGGAUUAGUGGCGAACGGGUGAGUAACACGUGAGUAACCUGCCCCGGACUCUGGAAUAAGCGCUGGAAACGGCGUCUAAUACUGGAUAUGACAUCGCCUCGCAUGGGGUGGUGUGGAAAGUUUUUCGGUUUGGGAUGGACUCGCGGCCUAUCAGCUUGUUGGUGAGGUAGUGGCUCACCAAGGCGACGACGGGUAGCCGGCCUGAGAGGGCGACCGGCCACACUGGGACUGAGACACGGCCCAGACUCCUACGGGAGGCAGCAGUGGGGAAUAUUGCACAAUGGGCGCAAGCCUGAUGCAGCGACGCCGCGUGAGGGAUGACGGCCUUCGGGUUGUAAACCUCUUUCAGCAGGGAAGAAGCCUUUGGGUGACGGUACCUGCAGAAGAAGCACCGGCUAACUACGUGCCAGCAGCCGCGGUAAUACGUAGGGUGCGAGCGUUGUCCGGAAUUAUUGGGCGUAAAGAGCUUGUAGGCGGUUUGUCGCGUCUGCUGUGAAAAUCCAAGGCUUAACUUUGGACGUGCAGUGGGUACGGGCAGGCUAGAGUGUGGUAGGGGAGACUGGAAUUCCUGGUGUAGCGGUGAAAUGCGCAGAUAUCAGGAGGAACACCGAUGGCGAAGGCAGGUCUCUGGGCCACUACUGAC
rnacentral:rRNA from 1 species